AAUUAAAUCCAGUUGAUCCUGCUGGCGGCUGCGGCUCUCUGGCUUGCGAUUAGCCAUGCAAGUUUUUUCUUCAGGUUCUUUGGAAUUUGGGGGAAGGCGAACUGCUCAGUAACACAUAGCUAACCUACCCUUAGGUCAGGGAUAACCUCGGGAAACUGAGGGUAAUACCUGAUAGGAGAUAUACCCUGGAAUGAUUUAUCUCUCAAACUCGCGCCUAAGGAUGGGGCUGUGGCGGAUUAGGUUGUUGGCGGGGUAAUGGCCCACCAAGCCUUUGAUCUGUAAGGGCUCUUAGCGGAGGGGCCCUGAGAGGGAGUCUGAGACACUACUCCCAGCCCUACGGGGUGCAGCAGGUAGGAAUCAUCUGCAAUGCGCGCAAGCGUGACAGUUUGAGCCAGAGUGCUUCUCAUAGAGGAGCUUUUGCCAAAUGUAAAAAGUUUGGCGAAUAAGGACUGGGCAAGACUAGUGCCAGCCGCCGCGGUAAUACUAGCGGUCCAAGUCGCAGCCACAUUUAUUGGGUCUAAAACAUCCGUAGCUUGCUAGGUCAGUUUCUUGUGAAAUCUCAAAUCUUAAGUUUGAGGCGUGCAGGAAAUACUGCCUAGCUAGAGACCGGAAGACGUAGGAAGUACGUCCAAAGUAACUGUAAAAUUUAUUAAUCUUGGACGGACUCACAAUAGCGAAGGCAUCCUACGAGGACGGUUCUGACAGUAAGGGAUGAAGGCUAGGGGCGCAAAACGGAUUAGAUACCCGUGUAGUCCUAGCAGUAAACACUGCACACUAAACAUCAGUACCUCUUCGAGAGGUAUUGGUGCUGUAGCGAAGGCGAAGAGUGUGCUACCUGGGAAGUAUGGUCGCAAGGCUGAAACUUAAAGGAAUUGGCGGGGAGACACUACAACGGGUGACGCGUGCGGUUUAAUUAGAUUCUACACCGUGAACCUCACCAGGAGCGACAGCAGGAUGAAGGUCAGUCUGAAGGGCUUACCUGACACGCUGAGAGGAGUUGCAUGGCCGACGUCAGCCUGUGCCGUGAGGUGACCUGUUAAAUCAGGUAACAGGCAAGACCCGCGUGCAUAUUUACUACGUGUACAAUAUGCAGAUCGCCUGGGUAACCAGGAUGAAAGUGCGGACUACGUUAGGUGAGUACAGCCCGAAUCCCCUGGGCAACACGCGCGCGGCAAUGGUGAAUACAGUGGGACGCAACUCCGAGAGGAGAAGCCAAUCUCAUAAAGUUCAUCUCAGUCCAGAUUGAGGUUUGUAACUCAACCUCAUGACGCUGGAAUCCGUAGUAAUCGUUUGUUAGCAGCGAACGGUGAAUACGUCACUGUCUCUUGCACACACUGCCCGUCAAACCAACCAAGUUAUGUUAUGGUGAAACUUUUCGAUGGAGAACCUUGGCAUGACAAGGUAGGUUAAGUCGUCACAAGGUAUCUGUAGGGGAACCUGCAGAUGGAUCACCUCCUAA
rnacentral:rRNA from 1 species